UCACAACUGCAACCGCCCGUUUUAAGUUUAUAAGAAUCUACAAGUAGAUCACUAAAUUACGGCGAGUCUAAGUUUUAAA
rfam:Lactobacillus ceti DSM 22408 NODE_172, whole genome shotgun sequence.